rnacentral:rRNA from 1 species
AUUGAACGCUGGCGGCAUGCCUUACACAUGCAAGUCGAACGGCAGCAUAGGUGCUUGCACCUGAUGGCGAGUGGCGAACGGGUGAGUAAUACAUCGGAACGUGCCCAGUCGUGGGGGAUAACGUAGCGAAAGUUACGCUAAUACCGCAUACGAUCUACGGAUGAAAGCGGGGGACCGUAAGGCCUCGCGCGAUUGGAGCGGCCGAUGUCAGAUUAGGUAGUUGGUGGGGUAAAGGCCCACCAAGCCAACGAUCUGUAGCUGGUCUGAGAGGACGACAAACCACACUGGGACUGAGACACGGCCCAGACGCCGACGGGAGGCAGCAGUGGGGAAUUUUGGACAAUGGGCGCAAGCCUGAUCCAGCCAUUCCGCGUGCAGGAUGAAGGCCUUCGGGUUGUAAACUGCUUUUGUACGGAACGAAAAGCUCUGGGUUAAUACCCCGGGGUCAUGACGGUACCGUAAGAAUAAGCACCGGCUAACUACGUGCCAGCAGCCGCCGUAA